rnacentral:rRNA from 1 species
GGUUAAGUGACUAAGCGUACACGGUGGAUGCCUGGGCAGUCAGAGGCGAUGAAGGACGUACUAACUUGCGAUAAGCGCAGAUAAGGCAGUAAGAGCCGUUUGAGUCUGCGAUUUCCGAAUGGGGAAACCCAACUGCAUAAGCAGUUACUGUUAACUGAAUACAUAGGUUAACAGAGCAAACCGGGGGAACUGAAACAUCUAAGUACCCCGAGGAGAAGAAAUCAACCGAGAUUCCGGUAGUAGCGGCGAGCGAACCUGGAUUAGCCCUUAAGCACUCGGUGAAGUAGGUGAACAAGCUGGAAAGCUUGGCGAUACAGGGUGAUAGCCCCGUAACCGACGCUUCAUCGAGCGUGAAAUCGAGUAGGGCGGGACACGUGAUAUCCUGUCUGAAUAUGGGGGGACCAUCCUCCAAGGCUAAAUACUCCUGACUGACCGAUAGUGAACCAGUACCGUGAGGGAAAGGCGAAAAGAACCCCUGUGAGGGGAGUGAAAUAGAACCUGAAACCGUGUACGUACAAGCAGUAGGAGCACCUUCGUGGUGUGACUGCGUACCUUUUGUAUAAUGGGUCAGCGACUUAUAUUCAGUGGCAAGGUUAACCGUAUAGGGGAGCCGUAGCGAAAGCGAGUCUUAACUGGGCGCUCAGUCUCUGGAUAUAGACCCGAAACCGGGUGAUCUAGCCAUGGGCAGGUUGAAGGUUGAGUAACAUCAACUGGAGGACCGAACCGACUAAUGUUGAAAAAUUAGCGGAUGACUUGUGGCUAGGGGUGAAAGGCCAAUCAAACUCGGAGAUAGCUGGUUCUCCCCGAAAGCUAUUUAGGUAGCGCCUCGGACGAAUACUACUGGGGGUAGAGCACUGUUAAGGCUAGGGGGUCAUCCCGACUUACCAACCCUUUGCAAACUCCGAAUACCAGUAAGUACUAUCCGGGAGACACACGGCGGGUGCUAACGUCCGUCGUGGAGAGGGAAACAACCCAGACCGCCAGCUAAGGUCCCAAAGUAUUGCUAAGUGGGAAACGAUGUGGGAAGGCUCAGACAGCUAGGAUGUUGGCUUAGAAGCAGCCAUCAUUUAAAGAAAGCGUAAUAGCUCACUAGUCGAGUCGGCCUGCGCGGAAGAUGUAACGGGGCUAAGCAAUACACCGAAGCUGCGGCAAUAUCUUUUAGAUAUUGGGUAGGGGAGCGUUCUGUAAGCCGUUGAAGGUGAAUCGUAAGGUUUGCUGGAGGUAUCAGAAGUGCGAAUGCUGACAUGAGUAACGACAAAGGGGGUGAAAAACCUCCUCGCCGGAAGACCAAGGGUUCCUGUCCAACGUUAAUCGGGGCAGGGUGAGUCGACCCCUAAGGUGAGGCCGAAAGGCGUAAUCGAUGGGAAACGGGUUAAUAUUCCCGUACUUCUGACUAUUGCGAUGGGGGGACGGAGAAGGCUAGGUGGGCCAGGCGACGGUUGUCCUGGUUCAAGUGCGUAGGCUUGAGAGUUAGGUAAAUCCGGCUCUCUCUAAGGCUGAGACACGACGUCGAGCUGCUACGGCAGUGAAGUCAUUGAUGCCAUGCUUCCAGGAAAAGCCUCUAAGCUUCAGAUAGUCAGGAAUCGUACCCCAAACCGACACAGGUGGUCGGGUAGAGAAUACCAAGGCGCUUGAGAGAACUCGGGUGAAGGAACUAGGCAAAAUGGUACCGUAACUUCGGGAGAAGGUACGCUCUUGAUGGUGAAGUCCCUCGCGGAUGGAGCUGACGAGAGUCGCAGAUACCAGGUGGCUGCAACUGUUUAUUAAAAACACAGCACUGUGCAAAAUCGCAAGAUGACGUAUACGGUGUGACGCCUGCCCGGUGCCGGAAGGUUAAUUGAUGGGGUUAGCGCAAGCGAAGCUCUUGAUCGAAGCCCCGGUAAACGGCGGCCGUAACUAUAACGGUCCUAAGGUAGCGAAAUUCCUUGUCGGGUAAGUUCCGACCUGCACGAAUGGCGUAAUGAUGGCCACGCUGUCUCCACCCGAGACUCAGUGAAAUUGAAAUCGCUGUGAAGAUGCAGUGUACCCGCGGCUAGACGGAAAGACCCCGUGAACCUUUACUACAGCUUGGCACUGAACAUUGAACCUACAUGUGUAGGAUAGGUGGGAGGCUAUGAAGACGUGACGCCAGUUGCGUUGGAGCCGUCCUUGAAAUACCACCCUUGUAUGUUUGAUGUUCUAACUUAGACCCAUUAUC